rnacentral:misc_RNA from 1 species
CAGAGCUCUUGCCCGCAAGGGUAGAUCUCCCACCCUGUGUUGUAUUUACCUCUGUUGCUUUGGCGGGCCGCCCUGGCCCCGGUCAGGCUACCGGCUUCGGCGGGUACGCGCCCGCCAGAGGACCCCAAACCCUGAACGUCAGUGUCGUCUGAGUACUAUACAAUAGUUA